UACGUAGGUGGCAAGCGUUGUCCGGAUUUACUGGGCGUAAAGAGCGCGCAGGCGGUCGUUCAAGUCGCGUGUGAAAGCCCCCGGCUCAACUGGGGAGGGUCACGCGAUACUGAUCGACUCGAAGGCAGGAGAGGGUAGUGGAAUUCCCGGUGUAGUGGUGAAAUGCGUAGAUAUCGGGAGGAACACCAGUGGCGAAGGCGACUACCUGGCCUGUUUCUUGACGUUGAGGCGCGAAAGCUAGGGGAGCAAACGGG
rnacentral:rRNA from 1 species